GGGCCCGCACAAGCGGAGGAACAUGUGGUUUAAUUCGAUGAUACGCGAGGAACCUUACCCGGGCUCGAACGACAGGAGAAUACAGGUGAAAGCUUGUAGCUAGCAAUAGCUGCUGUCGAGGUGCUGCAUGGUUGUCGUCAGCUCGUGCCGUGAGGUGUCGGCUUAAGUGCCAUAACGAGCGCAACCCUUAUCUUUAGUUACCAUCAGGUUAAGCUGGGGACUCUGGAGAGACUGCCACCGUAAGGUGUGAGGAAGGUGGGGAUGACGUCAAAUCAGCACGGCCCUUACGUCCGGGGCGACACACGUGUUACAAUGGGGGGGACAAAGGGCAGCUACCAGGUGACUGGAUGCUAAUCUCCAAACCCUCUCCCAGUUCCGGAUCGGAGUCUGCAACUCGACUCCGUGAAGCUGGAUUCGCUAGUAAUCGCGCAUCAGCCAUGGCG
rnacentral:rRNA from 1 species